rnacentral:rRNA from 1 species
UACGGGGGGGGCAAGCGUUGUUCGGAAUUACUGGGCGUAAAGGGCUCGUAGGCGGCCAACUAAGUCCGACGUGAAAUCCCUAGGCUUAACCUAGGAACUGCGUCGGAUACUGGAUGGCUUGAAUUCGGGAGAGGGAUGCAGAAUUCCAGGUGUAGCGGUGAAAUGCGCAGAUAUCAGGAGGAACACCAAUUGCGAAGGCAGCUCGCUGGGACGUCACUGACGCUGAGACGCGAAAGCGUGGGGAGCGAACAGG